GUACACUCCUACGGGAGGCAGCAGUGGGGAAUAUUGGACAAUGGGCGCAAGCCUGAUCCAGCCAUGCCGCGUGAGUGAUGAAGGCCCUAGGGUUGUAAAGCUCUUUCACCGGUGAAGAUAAUGACGGUAACCGGAGAAGAAGCCCCGGCUAACUUCGUGCCAGCAGCCGCGGUAAUACGAAGGGGGCUAGCGUUGUUCGGAUUUACUGGGCGUAAAGCGCACGUAGGCGGACUAUUAAGUCAGGGGUGAAAUCCCGGGGCUCAACCCCGGAACUGCCUUUGAUACUGGUAGUCUUGAGUUCGAGAGAGGUGAGUGGAAUUCCGAGUGUAGAGGUGAAAUUCGUAGAUAUUCGGAGGAACACCAGUGGCGAAGGCGGCUCACUGGCUCGAUACUGACGCUGAGGUGCGAAAGCGUGGGGAGCAAACAGGAUUAGAAACCCCGGUAGUCCC
rnacentral:rRNA from 1 species